rnacentral:rRNA from 1 species
AGCGAACGCUGGCGGCAGGCUUAACACAUGCAAGUCGAGCGGGCAUCCUUGUGGUGUCAGCGGCAGACGGGUGAGUAACGCGUGGGAACGUGCCCUUCGGUUCGCAAUAACUCAGGGAAACUUGAGCUAAUACCGGAUACGUUCGAGAGCAGAAAGGUUUAUCUGCCGAAGGAUCGGCCCGCGUCUGAUUAGCUAGUUGGUGAGGUUAUGGCUCACCAAGGCGACGAUCAGUAGCUGGUCUGAGAGGAUGAUCAGCCACACUGGGACUGAGACACGGCCCAGACUCCUACGGGAGGCAGCAGUGGGGAAUAUUGGACAAUGGGGGCAACCCUGAUCCAGCCAUGCCGCGUGAGUGAUGACGGGCUUAGGGUUGUAAAGCUCUUUUCUCCGGGACGAUAAUGACGGUACCGGAGGAAUAAGCACCGGCUAACUUCGUG